AUGAAUCGCUGCUCUCAAAGAUUCGCUUCCCUUUGCCGUUAUUGAGAGUAAUCCCUGCAGCAGUUAGUGUCAGAGUUCUGGAGUUCGAGUUCUUUGGGUAGGAGUAUGAAUCCAGAAAAUCACCUAGCUUCUCUAAAAGCCUGUUGUGGGCGUUUUUGGUUUUGGUUUUGUUUUGUUUUGUUUUUCAAAAAGGGGCUAAUGAAAGAGUAAACAGAUGCGAUGACUUUGGAACCAACUACUGAAGGAAGAUUUCCAGGCAAUCAGGAGUGGGAUUGACUCCUUUCUUUGCAGAGGAAAUGGGACGUGCACAGGCCAGGAAGCAGGACAUAGCACUCGCUAAGGAUUUCCCAAUAGUCUGAAGUGUUGCCGGCUUGGAAGGGAGGAGAUGGGCCUGGGAUAAGCAGAAACUGAAGCUGAAAAGAUAAGGAUACCAUGAGGAAGGAGGGGCCUGGAGGGAGACAGUGUUGUCCACUGGUGCCAGUGGAGUCAGACAUUUUCAGAGCAUGCUCAUAGAACUGGGGAGGCUCUUCAUGAUGAGAACAAAGGCAAAAAAGAUGAUGCUCGCUUCCCUAAGGAAUGAACUGGAGGAUAGGAUCUCACGCACCUACAGAUGCGUUCUUGCAGACAGCACGCAGACUCAUCAAUUUAUGCCCGGCUGAAAUGGAUUAGAUCUCAAACCUGCAGAGGUCCACAGCCACUGGAGCCAGAGCAUCCAUGGACGUCGGAGGCAGGCGGGCGCAGCAGGGCUCCCGAGCUGCAGCCUCUCUUUCCCCAGAUGCCCUGGAGAUUUAUUUCAUCUUAAUUAACCACGAGAGCUAUAGCACUGAGGAUUGAAUUUUUCGAGAGAGCACACGCCCGCUUUUUGUCUGCUUCCCUUCCUCCGGUCCCCACAAUGGCAUCGAAAUAAAAAAAAAAGAAAGAAAGAAA